rnacentral:antisense_RNA from 1 species
GGCUGGUCUGAAGGUCGGAGGCCUAAUUUUAACGCGUUUUCCUCCCUUUAAUUUGAAACGGGAACGCGAAUAACUAAAAUAGGAAGACACUUAAAGAUGAAGUGCUUAAUUCAAGGUCACAGAAUGUCGGGGAUGGACCUCCAGAUUUCCUUACUGGAAAACAAGCUCAGGGCUCCCACUGAUUGUACAUUAUGGUGAGACGUGGUCUUGUAACACAGUGGUUAAGAAUGUGACUUUGGAGCCAGCCUGCUAGGGGCUGAAUUCUGACUCAGCCAUUUAUUAACUGUGUGACCUUAGAUGGAGUCUCACUCUGUAGCCCAAGCUGGAGUGGCGUGAUCUCGACUCACUGCAACCUCCGCCUCCUGGGCUCAAGUGAUUCUCGUGCCUCAGCCUCCUGAGUAGCUGGGACUACAGGUCAUAGAAUUUUCCACACUCCUUGACGGAGGUUCUUAACCCUUAUCCAUCAGCAUUCUCAGACAGCACCUCCGGUUAGGGACAGUAUCUGACCGUCCGACAUCCCUGCAGCCCCCAUGCUGUCACACAGACUCAGCCUCAGGUAGAUGGUUUCCGUAGAUGGUGGCUUUCUUUGGACCCUUGAUAUCAACCAGUUACUAUUUGACUCUUCUGCAGAACCCCAUGUUGACCCCUGCUUUGAGGUGGCAGCGUUAACACUACUCUUUGUUAUAAGCUCUCGUCUGGGGCAACUCAGGAGAACCUCCUGCAACCACCGCUCUACUUUCUGUCUCUAUGAACUUGACUACUCUAGACACCUCAUGGGACCAGAUGUGCAGAGGUAAUGAAUACCAGGGAAUCAGGAAACCACUGGAUCAGUUCUUUGAGCCAUAGAACAACACUCAUCCCAGCAGCUGGGAAGCUAUCUGCAAAAGUCCAUCUGCAGAAAGGGCUUCCUGGUCUUGCGUGUGGCUGGGCCAUUUCUCUGGAUGCAGGUUUUUCAUUAUACAGUCUUCUCAAAGGACCACCUGCUCUCAACACCUUCUCGGUGACUCCAUUUCCCCUCCUCU